rnacentral:rRNA from 1 species
ACUCGGCGAAAUAGACUUGUCUGUGAAGAUGCGGACUACCUGCACCUGGACAAAAAGACCCUAUGAAGCUUUACUGUAGCUUGAGAUUGGCUCCGGGCUUUAUUUGCGCAGGAUAGGUGGGAGGCGUUGAAAAUUUCCUUGCGGGGGAAUUUGAGCCAUUGGUGAGAUACCACUCUAAUAAAGCUAGGAUUCUAACCCUAUACCGUUAUCCGGUUAGGGAACAGUCUCAGGUGGUCAGUUUGACUGGGGCGGUUGCCUCCUAAAAGGUAACGGAGG